AUGGCGAUGGUGGCACAGGCGGGCUUCGGCCUCACCCGCGUCGUCAUGCUCGUCGGCGCGGGCGUGGCCGGCUCCGUCGUCCUACGAAACGGCCGCCUCUCGGAGAUCCUCACCGAGAUACAGGAGUUUCUGGAGAAGGGGGAGAUGGGUAAGGGAGGAGGCGGUGGUGCGGACCACGGCAUCAACGACGCGCUCAACGAGGUGCGCCAACUUGCUAUGCAGGUACGCAAUCUAGGUUCUCCACGUUCGAUAACUGUUCUCAGUGGAGGUUCUGGACAAACAGGAGUAUCAGGACUAAUAGUACCUGCAGCAACUGUUGGAGCACUGGGUUAUGGUUAUAUGUGGUGGAAAGGCAUCUCCUUUGGGGACUUAAUGUAUGUCACCAAGCAAAACAUGGCUAAUGUUGUUUCAAAUAUGACUAAACAUCUGGAGCAAGUUCAGAGCUCUCUUGCUGCUGCUAAAAAGCAUUUGACACAACGCAUUGAGAAGUUGGAUGACAAAUUGGAUCAGCAGAAGGCGCUUUCUGGGCAAAUAAAAGAUGAUGUUACUGGCGCACGACUGAAGCUUGAGAAUAUUGGUUCAGAGAUUAAGAACAUCAAAGAAUUGGUCUGGGGACUGGAUGAGAAGAUGGAUUCAAUGGAAGCCAAACAGAAUUUUUCAUGCGCUGGUGUGAUGUACCUCUGCCAAUUCAUAGAGCAAAGUGGUGGGAAACUCCCUGAACGCCUGGAAGGCAUUGAACCAUCAGCGAAGCGAUUUGAAACAAUUGGCAUACAGGGGUUGCAACUAGCCAUAGAAACAGGGAAUUUUAGUGAUUUCAGCAAUGCUGAUUCCACUGACAAGAUAAGCAGCAAGUCAACAACCCGUGCCCUGUUUUGUAGGUCCAACUCGUUAAAGUCUGCCAACUAA
rnacentral:rRNA from 1 species